rnacentral:rRNA from 1 species
UCGAACGAGAGAUGAGGAGCUUGCUCUUCAAAUCGAGUGGCGAACGGGUGAGUAACGCGUGAGGAACCUGCCUCAAAGAGGGGGACAACAGUUGGAAACGACUGCUAAUACCGCAUAAGCCCACGGCUCGGCAUCGAGCAGAGGGAAAAGGAGUGAUCCGCUUUGAGAUGGCCUCGCGUCCGAUUAGCUAGUUGGUGAGGUAACGGCCCACCAAGGCAACGAUCGGUAGCCGGACUGAGAGGUUGAACGGCCACAUUGGGACUGAGACACGGCCCAGACUCCUACGGGAGGCAGCAGUGGGGAAUAUUGCACAAUGGGGGAAACCCUGAUGCAGCGACGCCGCGUGGAGGAAGAAGGUCUUCGGAUUGUAAACUCCUGUUGUUGAGGAAGAUAAUGACGGUACUCAACAAGGAAGUGACGGCUAACUACGUGCCAGCAGCCGCGGUAAAACGUAGGUCACAAGCGUUGUCCGGAAUUACUGGGUGUAAAGGGAGCGCAGGCGGGAGAACAAGUUGGAAGUGAAAUCCAUGGGCUCAACCCAUGAACUGCUUUCAAAACUGUUUUUCUUGAGUAGUGCAGAGGUAGGCGGAAUUCCCGGUGUAGCGGUGGAAUGCGUAGAUAUCGGGAGGAACACCAGUGGCGAAGGCGGCCUACUGGGCACCAACUGACGCUGAGGCUCGAAAGUGUGG